UCCCUCGUGGCGCAAUUGGCUAGCGCGUUCGACUGUUACCAGAGUUCUUUAAGUCUUCUGAUAUCGAGAGGUUGGUGGUUCGAGCCCACCCGAGGGAG
rfam:Pseudogymnoascus sp. 05NY08 unplaced genomic scaffold scaffold_23, whole genome shotgun sequence.